AAGCUGGAAUACUGGGUGGACAAGUAUGAAAACGACACAGACACUAAAGAUGAAGAACUGGAUGCCCUAAAAGCAUCAAAGGCAAACAACUUGGAAAUGCUGCAGAGACUUGCCAAGGAGUGCCAGACAUUCGAGGAAACCAUCAUUAGCGACCGGGCAGAAAAGGAGGCUAAAAGAAGACAACUAGAGCAGGAUGCCCUGGAGCUGAAGAGCAUCUUGAAGCUGCAGGCCUGGUGGAGAGGUACAAUGGUCCGCAGAAACCUUGGCCCCUACCAGACCCUCAGGAAGAUUUGGGAGAAACAGCUAUCAAAGCAGAAAGAAAAAGGGGAAAAGGAAAAAUCUGGAGCAAAGAAGAAGACACGAUAAGUAAAGAAAGCGGCUGCAGACAUGCUCCAGGGCUAUUGCUGGGAAGGCCACUACAGUCGGUCUGUCUGACAGGACAAAAUAAACCAUGUAACAGAG
rnacentral:lncRNA from 1 species